rnacentral:tRNA from 1 species
GGCAAGGUGCCGGAGUGGUUAACGGGUUCGCCUCGAAUCUUUAGUUCGACGCCGAGUACGGCGGUAAGCGAAUGGGCUCUGCCCGCACAGGUUCGAAUCCUGUUCUUGUCG